GGCCUGAUAGCACAGUUGGUAGUGCAUCCGCAGAGGUUGUGAGAGUUAAGUGGGAUCAAAUUUCGGCAGAAGACCCCCGUUCGAUUCGGGGUCAGGUUA